rnacentral:rRNA from 1 species
UACGGAGGGGGGUAGCGUUGUUCGGAAUGACUGGGCGUAAAGCGCGCGUAGGCGGAUCGCAAAGUUUGGGGUGAAAGCCCAGGGCUCAACCCUGGAAUUGCCUUCAAGAAUCGCGGUCUGGAGUUCGAGAGAGGUGGGUUGAAUUCCGAGUGUAGAGGUGAAAUUCGUAGAUAUUCGGAGGAACACCAGUGGCGAAGGCCGCCUACUGGCUCGACACUGACGCUGAGGCGCGAAAGCGCGGGGAGCAAACAGG